rnacentral:rRNA from 1 species
GAUGAACGCUAGCGGCAGGCCUAAUACAUGCAAGUCGGACGGGAUUGGGGAGCUUGCUCCCCGUGAGAGUGGCGCACGGGUGCGUAACACGUAUGUAACCUACCUUUAUCAGGGGGAUAGCCUCUCGAAAGAGAGAUUAACACCGCAUAACAUCACAUGAUAGCAUUAUCGAGUGAUCAAAUAUUCAUAGGAUAAAGAUGGGCAUGCGGGACAUUAGCUAGUUGGCGGGAUAACGGCCCACCAAGGCGACGAUGUCUAGGGGAUCUGAGAGGAUGACCCCCCACACUGGUACUGAGACACGGACCAGACUCCUACGGGAGGCAGCAGUAAGGAAUAUUGGUCAAUGGACGCAAGUCUGAACCAGCCAUGCCGCGUGCAGGAGGACGGCCCUACGGGUUGUAAACUGCUUUUGUACCGGAAUAAACCCUUUUACGUGUAAGAGGCUGAAUGUACGGUAAGAAUAAGGAUCGGCUAACUCCGUGCCAGCAGCCGCAGUAA